rnacentral:lncRNA from 1 species
GCGUGAGUGCGCGUGCGUUGGGGCCUCAGCCUUUAUCUCCACUCUGCGGAGAUUCACGCCUGGAAAACGCUCUUCUGAGAGGAUCUGUGGAGGUCAACCCAGGAGAGAGAAGACAGGACUGAAGCACUGAAAGGGUCCUGCCGUUAAGGGCGCAGGAUUGUAUAGAAUAUAUAAUAGCAGUAGCAGCUCUGUUUACGGAGCAUUAACCUUACGUGGAGUUAUUUCCUGCAUUUCCUCCUUUCGUCUUUACAAGGUAGCCGUUUGGCGUCGUGAGAGAUUGGGUCUCUCCACAUUGCCCCGGCUGCUCUCCAACCCCUGAGUUCAAGUGAUUCACCUCCCUUGGCCUCCCAAAGUACUGGGAUUACAGGCGUGAGCCACCGUGCCUGGCUGAGAAGAUGGAUUUAAGACAUAUUUUGGAGGUAACAUUGUCAGGACUUCCUGAAGGAUUAGAUGUGGAAGGGAAGGAUAAGAAACAGACCAAGGAUAACUUUCAAAUGUAUGCUUAAGCAACUGGAUGGAUAAUGAUGCCAUUGAGUGAGUGAAAAACUUGAUGGAAGUGGAAGAUUCAGAGUUCAUUUCUAUCUAGGUUAAUUUGAGACAUACCAGAGCAUAAGUUAACGGAAAGUGACCAGAAGAGGUGUGCAGUUUCCAGGCCUGGCCCAUACAGACCUCCAACAGGUGCUCCCCUGUGCUGUUACUCCUUCUGCCAACUGGAAGCAGAUGGUGACCAGGCUCUGGAGAAGGCAAGGCCUGAAGAUGGGAGAUUCCUAAGUGGAGGAGAACUGUGCCUUACUGACCUAAAUAUCCACUCAGUAUUGUUAUGUGAGAAUAAAUAAACUUGUGUUGACCGUU